rnacentral:tRNA from 1 species
AAUAAGAUGCCUGAUAAAAGGGUUAUCUUGAUAGGAUAAAUUAUGUAAGUACUACUCUUGUUA